UACAGGGAGAUAACUCUGUAAAGUCAGCUAAACGUUUUAAUUACGUUGUGUUGUAAAAGGAAUAUUAAGCUUCUCAAUGAUCAAAAUUGGUGUUUGUCAAACUGCUAUAUAACCAGUGUUAUUUUUCUGACAAAACGGUUGGUUCAAAAUUUUUUUAAAUUUUUAUAUUUUUGUUAAAGGGUCAAAGUAAAUAAUUUGACAAAAUUUAAUGAAAAUUAACCGAGCCAAAUUAAUUUUAGUGAAAGUGUU
rnacentral:lncRNA from 1 species